rnacentral:lncRNA from 10 species
UAUCUGAUUUUCAAAUGCUACUUUCACCUACACAGGUCAGAGCUGCACGUGUGAGUAAUUCUCAGUGAGAUGACUAACUGAUAUGUAGCUAAUGGGUACCUCCUGCAACCGUAGAUGGUAUACUGCAGAGGUUUCAAAUUCUGACUGAUCAUUUUUGGAUAAAGUAAAUUCAGAAAUAUAUUUUAAGAAUAAAAGAGGUGAUCUUGUUUUCCUGGUGGAAAUAAUAUUUCAAUGACUUUGACCCUAUGCAUUUUGAAAUCACCUGAUAUCAAUUAGCAUUCCUCCAGUUUGGGACUGAUUUAUGAUGCCCUUGUAAGGCCCUGAAAAUAUGAAAGCAGAGAAGCAGUACUAAGACUGAUAAUAACGGCUACCAUUUGUUAAGUGCUUACUUUGUAGGAAAAUAACUAUUGCUCCUAUGAAGGUACUACAUUUUUUUCCCUCUGACUUGCCCUACCCAGUAGGUAUAUUGGCAUACGGGUAGGAAAUAGACCACAUGAAUAGAAUAGAGCAAAGGGUGUGCAUCUGAGCAAGCUAACUUAGUUGAGCCAAAUUUAGCUAAGUCUCCAAUUGUGAUUUUCCUUUGGUUGCACUUCUCUUAAAAUGAUCAACUCACAUUCAUUUGAAAACACACCUAACUCGUGACAUUCAAGUUAUUUGUGACCAAAU